AACGGCGUCGAGCGGCGGACGGGUGAGUAAUGCCUGGGAAAUUGCCCUGAUGUGGGGGAUAACCAUUGGAAACGAUGGCUAAUACCGCAUAAUGCCUUCGGGCCAAAGAGGGGGACCUUCGGGCCUCUCGCGUCAGGAUAUGCCCAGGUGGGAUUAGCUAGUUGGUGAGGUAAUGGCUCACCAAGGCGACGAUCCCUAGCUGGUCUGAGAGGAUGAUCAGCCACACUGGAACUGAGACACGGUCCAGACUCCUACGGGAGGCAGCAGUGGGGAAUAUUGCACAAUGGGCGCAAGCCUGAUGCAGCCAUGCCGCGUGUGUGAAGAAGGCCUUCGGGUUGUAAAGCACUUUCAGUCGUGAGGAAGGCGGGUACGUUAAUAGCGUGCUCGUUUGACGUUAGCGACAGAAGAAGCACCGGCUAACUCCGUGCCAGCAGCCGCGGUAAUACGGAGGGUGCGAGCGUUAAUCGGAAUUACUGGGCGUAAAGCGCAUGCAGGUGGUUCGUUAAGUCAGAUGUGAAAGCCCGGGGCUCAACCUCGGAACAGCAUUUGAAACUGGCGGACUAGAGUACUGUAGAGGGGGGUAGAAUUUCAGGUGUAGCGGUGAA
rnacentral:rRNA from 1 species